rnacentral:tRNA from 1 species
UCUAUCAAAGGAAAAAAGCUCU